AGUCCAAGAGGUAGUGAACCCUGGGAGUAACGGUCUCCCUGUAAGGUUAGAAAUUUGUAUACUUACGAUUUAUGACAUGCUAAGAGCAAUAGCCAUGACCUGGCAGGCGUCAGCCCUGCACGUCAUCAGCCCCUUUAUUUUUUGGACUGUUAAGUAAAUUGAGUUUCAAAACUUGUUUCUGUAAAUUUGAAAAUUUAAUAGGAUAAAGUUUAUUUAUUGUACAUCUUAAAAAAAAAUUGACAGGCGAUUACAAUAAGCAGAAGUAUAUGACAGAUCAAUUAGAAAACGUACAGUUGAUGAGGUAAAAUAAACUUUAUCCUGUAUACUUAAAAUUUUUAUAUGUUUUCAAGUAAACGUCUCAGAGUAAAUAUGUACAAUGCCAGGCGGUUUUGAACAGCAUAAGACCUUGACAGGCGUCAGGCGUUAAGGGCGUGCGAGUGAGAGGUGUUGCGUGAAUGCCUAUAGUGCGAGUGAGACCGUUUAUCUAAUACGAAGGGACGUAUACCUGCUCUCGAGCAACAAUGUACAGAGAAGAAUUUCGUCAGUUGUGCCAAUGAUUUUUACUUGUGAAGAUGCUUUAAGCUAUAACAUUUCUUAUGUUGAGUGAUUUCGAAUUUUUUAAAAAUCAAACUAAAGUUUGAUUUUUUUUAAAUUAAAUAUUAUUAUCAAUUGUGCAGUGAUAUUGUGUAUUGUUGUACUUAAUAUUAACAUUUCAGUAAAUAGUGUGCAAGAUGAAAUUGGAACACGUGGUUUGUGUGAUUUGUAACGAAGACACUGACGAAAAAACUGUACGAUUUACAGAGACUACGUGGAAUAAAAGUAAAUCAAAGUAGUAAGCUAUGAUUCAUCGAAUUUACCACCCUGCAAACGUGAACUACAUCAACAAUUAUUGAGAACUGCCUACAUUACAAAUAUAUAGCGAAAUUGUAAUUUAAAAGAACCAACAAUUCUUACACCUGAAAAUAACGGUUGGAACUUAAUUGAAAGUCGUUACGAAUUUAAUUGGUUUGAGGGGAAUACGGUUCCAUCUUCUAUAUACGACAUACUUUUACAAGGACCUGCUGAUACUGCCACAACACAAUCGACUGAAACUGAGGAAUGCAUUUCAGAUGAGGAAAACAUUGUUAAAGAAUCAGAUGAUGAUGAAAACAGUGAUAGAGAAAUUUCGGAUGAUGCUGAAGAAAAUGAAUGUUAAAAAUAAUGUAGAUUGCAUAAAACCCAAUAAAAUACAUUGCAUUUACUGUAUGCGUU